UUAUGGCCUUUUCGAAGCUACAACUAUGCUAAAUUAUCCAAAUUUUUGUAGUCAAAUUUAGGCCAAUAAUAAAAUGUCCAUCUUUAUGGUCACUGAUUGAAUUUGUAUUCUCUCCGUAUUACCCAAGAAGGAAACAAAA